GCUUGCUUCCGCCUCCCUGUGGUGGCUGCUUGUUGUUGUGGAGGCCAUAAUGGCGGCUCAGGCGGCUGCAGCGGCCCAGGCGGCUGCGGCCCAGGCAGCGCAGGCGGAGGCGGCCGAGUCGUGGUACCUGGCUCUUCUGGGCUUCGCCGAGCACUUCCGCACCUCCAGCCCGCCCAAGAUCCGCCUGUGUGUGCACUGCCUGCAGGCCGUGUUCCCCUUCAAGCCGCCUCAGCGCAUCGAGGCCCGCACGCACCUGCAGCUGGGCUCCGUGCUCUACCACCACACCAAGAACAGCGAGCAGGCGCGCAGCCACCUGGAGAAGGCGUGGUUAAUAUCACAGCAAAUCCCGCAGUUUGAAGAUGUUAAAUUUGAAGCAGCAAGUCUGUUAUCUGAAUUAUAUUGUCAAGAGAAUUCCGUGGAUGCAGCAAAGCCGCUGCUGCGGAAGGCGAUCCAGAUCUCUCAGCAGACGCCGUACUGGCACUGCCGCCUGCUCUUCCAGCUCGCGCAACUGCAUACGCUUGAGAAGGACCUGGUGUCAGCCUGUGACCUCCUGGGCGUGGGGGCCGAGUACGCCCGGGUGGUGGGAUCCGAGUACACACGGGCACUGUUCCUCCUCAGCAAGGGGAUGUUGCUGCUGAUGGAGCGCAAGCUGCAGGAGGUCCACCCGCUGCUCACCCUCUGUGGCCAGAUCGUGGAGAACUGGCAGGGGAACCCCAUCCAGAAGGAGUCGCUGCGCGUCUUUUUCCUGGUGCUGCAGGUGACCCACUACCUGGAUGCGGGGCAGGUGAAGAGCGUGAAGCCAUGCCUGAAGCAGCUGCAGCAGUGCAUCCAGACCAUCUCCACGCUGCACGACGACGAGAUCCUGCCCAGCAACCCCGCCGACCUCUUCCACUGGCUGCCCAAGGAGCACAUGUGUGUGCUUGUCUACCUGGUGACCGUGAUGCACUCCAUGCAGGCCGGCUACCUGGAGAAGGCACAGAAGUACACGGACAAGGCCCUCAUGCAGCUGGAGAAGCUCAAGAUGCUCGACUGCAGCCCCAUCCUGUCCUCCUUCCAAGUGAUCCUCCUGGAGCACAUCAUCAUGUGCCGGCUCGUCACGGGGCACAAGGCCACGGCGCUGCAGGAGAUCUCCCAGGUCUGCCAGCUGUGCCAGCAGUCUCCCCGGCUCUUCUCCAACCACGCCGCACAGCUGCACACGCUGCUGGGCCUGUACUGUGUCUCCGUCAACUGCAUGGACAACGCGGAAGCCCAGUUCACCACGGCCCUGCGGCUCACCAACCACCAGGAGCUGUGGGCCUUCAUCGUGACCAACCUGGCGAGUGUGUAUAUACGGGAAGGAAAUAGACACCAAGAGGUAGUAGCUGUACAGCCUGCUGGAGAGGAUAAACCCCGACCACAGCUUCCCCGUCAGCUCACACUGCCUGCGAGCAGCGGCCUUCUACGUCCGUGGGCUCUUCUCCUUCUUCCAGGGCCGCUACAACGAGGCCAAGCGAUUUCUGCGAGAAACGCUGAAGAUGUCCAAUGCGGAGGACCUGAACCGGCUCACGGCCUGCUCCCUCGUUCUGCUGGGCCACAUCUUCUACGUGCUGGGGAACCACAGGGAGAGUAACAACAUGGUGGUGCCUGCCAUGCAGCUGGCCAGCAAGAUCCCAGACAUGUCGGUGCAGCUGUGGUCGUCGGCCCUGCUGAGGGACCUGAACAAGGCCUGCGGGAACGCCAUGGACGCCCACGAGGCUGCCCAGAUGCACCAGAACUUCUCGCAGCAGCUGCUCCAAGACCACAUCGAGGCCUGCAGCCUCCCUGAGCACAACCUCAUCACGUGGACAGACGGGCCACCCCCCGUGCAGUUCCAGGCUCAGAAUGGACCCAACACCAGCCUGGCCAGUCUCCUGUGAGGCGCCUGGAGGGGCCGCCCGGCUCCCGGCCCGCGCCCACCGCCGCCAGACAGCACUUGCGCCUCCCCGGACGCACUCGCUUCCUUCCCACCGUCUCU